rnacentral:tRNA from 1 species
GGAGAUGAGGCUCAGUGGUAAAGAACUUGCUUAGCAAGCAUGAGGCCCUGGGUUCAAUCCUCAGCUCCG